ACUUUAAUCGCGCAGCAUAGGUGGGAGGCGUUGAACAUGUUCUUGCGGGAACAUAGGAGCCAUCAGUGAGAUACCACUCUUUUAAUGUUAGAUUUCUAACCUUGAACCAUUAUCUGGUCAAGGAACAGUUUCAGGCGGGCAGUUUGACUGGGGCGGUCGCCUCCUAAACGGUAACGGAGGCGUACAAAGGUUUCCUCUGAACGAAUAGAAAUCGUAUCUAGAGUAUAAAGGCAUAAGGAAGCUUGACUGUGAGACCUACAAGUCGAGCAGGGACGAAAGUCGGUCUUAGUGAUCUGACGGUACUGAGUGGAAAGGCCGUCACUCAACGGAUAAAAGUUACUCUAGGGAUAACA
rnacentral:rRNA from 1 species